GGGAAAAGGCUGGUUUGCUUUGUGAAUCUUGGAGAAAGCUUGGCUGUGAAGUUGGAGGCUUGUUUGAGGAUUUAAUUUCAAUCCUAGCUUAAGUGUAUCUUGGUUUGGAGCUCUUUGGAAGGUUGGAAUUGAAGCAUCCCAAACUCAAGUGGAGUUUUGGAAAGAGUUUUCCUCUCGUUAAGCUUGUGAAGGUUGCUCCCUACAAGCCGACACUCCGAAGUUAGUCUUCCGACGACAGAUCGCCAGUGCGGGACUGAGCGCCGAAGUAGAUUGCCGUGAGGAGUGUUGACUACCACGAGAUCAUUAGGCACGGCUUGAGCUGGGACUUUAUAACAUGUAAUUCCCUCGUUAAUUGGGUAAAUGUAAAUAAACUUAACAUUAGAU